rnacentral:lncRNA from 1 species
UACUUUGUCACUUCAACUGUCCUCAAAUUCUAACAAAUAAAUAAUCAAAUCGAUGCAUCGCGCAGUAUUUAAAUUCAAACGGCCCUGUAGAAAAACUUGGAUCUGGACUGAUCCCAGUGAUGCAUACAAGCACACACGAACUUUAUGCAUGUACAUUCUGAAAUUUAAGUUAUGCACAAUCAAAUUAUGUCCAUUCAAAUUAUGAACAAUUUGCAGAUAUAAUCGGCAAGUCCCCAACCGAGGGAGGAACUUUCUCUCAAUCACCCAAGUAUUCAUUGCAUUGCAAAAGCCCAUGGUGGUUGGGAAUAACAACGUAAACAGGGACCGAAAAUUGAAGUAGGCCACCAGCCAAGAAACCAAUUCAUUUUUAUCUUAUCUACAAAAACAAUAUCACCAGCCGUAUCAUUUAGCACACUCCCACAACUACCAACGAACAAAGAAAAACAAAACAGUGCCACCACAUCUCGGCUCCUCGGCGUCUUGCCACUCUUGGGGGUAAUGACAUCGGCGUCAUCAAUCUCUCACUACCGUGCAUCUGCAUCUAAAGCACAACACAUGCACCAAGUCAAGAACACCACAAAUCCCAGAAUUUACAAAGGAAAUACGUGAAGCACAAAGCCAAGCAGAUAAAUUGGGUGUCUUGUUCUACUCUAUUGAUCAAUCACGCAAUUUAGAAAGGAAAUUAUUCUGGAUAUAUCAUGGCAAGAAUAUGAUAAGAGACUCUGUAUUAUUUGGGCAUGCACUAAGAAAUUUCAGUAUAUUUGAGUUAACUUAGAGCAAUCGACAUCGCCUGAAAAAAAUACAAUUAAUACAGGUGAGGUAACAACGCAUAGCACAAUAGACACAUCUAUCACGCAUAUGUGACUGCACCUAGUGCUUCCCUUGUCAAAACAUGAGACUGUAAUUUGAUUCGGUUGGGUUGUGCUUAUGGUCCUCACAAAGGUUGCUUUACACACGGCAAACAAGAUUUGACACGAAGGAAGGGGGUGGAAUCAAGGUAGUCAGUGUCGGGAUUCGGAGUCGGAUCGAUUUUCCUUAGACAGAAUCGAGUCGUAGUAUCGAGUCGUGGAAUCGAGGAUUCUACUAGAUUUUCUCAAAUAAGAUAUUUUGUAUCCACGCCAGAAAUUUAUAUGGGCUCUAUAGAGUUCUAAAACUAAAUAUAGAGAAAAAACGUAUACGGCAAUGCUAGUUGUAUUCCACUUCUUUUCAUCGCUAUCCUACAAUCUAGCUUGCAUGUAUGGAACACAUAUGAGAGGGAAAUAUAUAGAACCUUUAAAUGUUCUGUGUAUGAAAUUUACUAAGGAGGUUUUUUAAGAGUUCAUGAAUAGUCGAUAAUUUGUAUAGCUAAUCCGCAGUGUUGAACCUUGACGGAUGUUUCUCUCCUUCUCCGAUUGAUCUUGACGCAUCCUCCUUCUUACGCUAAUUCCAUCUGUCGACAAGCCGGAUCCUCAGUUUGAUCUAGGGUUUCUAAUAGUCAAAUAAAAGAUGUCAGCGACUGAGCGUUUGGGCUUGGGAGGGGAAUAAAGGGCCACGAGCUUGUGAAAAAGGGUCUGAAUGAUAGCAUAGUAUUCUGCUACAACUAAACAAAUAGCUUAUAUAAUUUAGUAGAAUCGGUCAUAGUCCAUAGCAUAGUCGGAUUCCGUAGUUUUGUACUGGAUUCUAUGAUUUGGAUCGCGACUCAACAUGGACUCUACCUGAUCCGGAUUCAUAGUGGGACUUGGAUUGACAUGCUUCCAUAGGGUCGUGAAGUCAUAGGAUUCUAGCAGUCGAGUUGGGAUCUUGACUACCUUGGGUGGAAUUAGAGGAGGGCAUACCUUGUCUAGUGCCCACAGCUCGUCAGGAGGAGGCUGGAGUGCCUGCUCCUGCGAGUUCCUGCUCGUCUGCUCCGCGGGAGGAGAAAAGGGACCUUCCAUUGCCGCAGCUCCUGUGGAAAGAAACAACAAGAAAUGAUUCCAUCACUAUGGACCUAUCUUUUUAAGAACAACAUGCUCAGAACAACCAGAGGACAACAGGGAGAGGAGGUGGAGGAGCUCACCGUGCCGGUUUUGUAGCUGAUGCCUAACAGCACCACCAUCGCGGCAUGGCAGCAGGGCAAACGAAAGACGCCAAGGCCGGAGACCGAGCAUACCACCGUGUACCUUGCCUGUUUCAAAACACGAGACAAAAUCUUUAGCAUGAAUCCCUGGAAAGCUCCUCUACUAGUUCACACAAGUUCCCCAUGUAGAAUCACAAGUACACAAUCAAUAGCUACACUUCACAAGUAAAAGAGCAAGGCUUAAGCAAAAACCAUAAAAUGGCAGUAUCCAAACUCGUAAGUAUGAGUGUGAACCACACUAAAACCUAAACAUUAGCACCUCCGAACAGUAGAGCAUAGGACAUAUAGUAAGCCUUCACACAGAACCUACAAGUCUAUAACCAUGUCAACAAAUGGUUCUCUUUUACUCAACAUUGAAAAAGAAUUGAGAUCAAGAAUAUGAACACCGAGUUCACAUCCAAGUACCCAAAUCAAGCGUGAGUGAAAAUAAAAAGAAAAAUGUCCAGAUAAGCCCCCACAAGCCGCAAUAAGAUCAAAAUGAAAAAACAAUGAUAUACAUGCAUCACACAUCCCUUGAAGCGUAGUAAGAUGAUCUUGCAACUUAGCAUGACUAAAGGCAUUAGAGAGAGAGAGCAGAGGAGAGGAACUGGUUGCUUACUUGUGCUGGAGUAGAAGAAGAAGCGGCAUCGUUGUGAGGCGUGGGGGCAGGCCGACGGACUCACUGGUGUUGUUCAUC